rnacentral:rRNA from 1 species
UUUGGUGGUGGGGAGUAGCCGGCUAACGCCCGGGUAAUACCGCAUACGGUUGCCGAGGGGAGUCCCUUGGCAAAGAAACCUCCGGGGCACAGAGAGGGGCUCGCGGCCUAUCAGCUAGUUGGGGGGGUAAUGGCCCACCAAGGCGACGACGGGUAGCUGGUCUGAGAGGAUGGCCAGCCACAUUGGGACUGAGAGACGGCCCAG